CACAUGCACAAGUACGGGUGUGGGGACCCACAGCACAAGGGGGACAUCAGAAAGAGUGGGCUUCUCAUUUUAAGGUGUGGUCAAACAGUUUUGACUGUCUAAAAUUGUUUUCUAUUCAUUGCAAAUGAACUUGCUGUAAUGGUCUUGAAUUUACUAAUGAAAGAUAUGUGCCUGGUGCCCUCAACUCCUGAAGGGGCCUUGGAUCUUCUGGAACUGGAGUUACAGCUGUGAGCUUCUAUGUUGAUUCUGGCAAUCCAACACAGGUCUGCUGGUAAACAGUCAGAAAUGGGCACACAGGAGUCCUCAGCAUCCCAUCUGUGUACCUCUCCUUUCCCCUCUACAACAGAAGACAGGGCGACUUGGGAGGCUUAAGGACUGGACAGAAGGUCUAGUUACCACACGUCAACCGAUGAUCAACAGUAUUUGGUCAUGGGAUCUUUGGGAGCCAAGCUGUUCCUGAGAGGAUGGUUAUUCUCUCACAGGAAGAAACAAAGAAAUCCAAUGAGGAUGUUCUUCAUUUCUCCAAAGAGGAAACGGAGGCUUAGAGAAAUACUGUAAUUUCCUGGGAAGAAAGCUGGACACUGUACCUCACACAGCAGAAGGUCAAUGAUGUGGAACACCAUGCAGAGUGGAAACUUGGCAGUAAAGAGAGUGAGGAACCACUGGGAUGCAUACAUAUGAGCUUCCAGGUUCAGAUCACAGAAGUGGCUGUACAGGUCUGGCAGCUGUUCCUAAAAGCCAAAAGGAAAGGUUUAGGGGAAUGAUUACCAAGGAAGUUUUGUCACUUGCAACAACUAUAAUGUGCACCUGCAUGUCAGUGCACAGAGGUGAUGACAGGAGAUGGGGAUGGACAGAUGAGUGUGGACAGAAACGACUGGGUACAAUAGGAUUAUCCUUGCUAACAAGAGAGAGAGUUCCUGAUUCCUGGAAAAAUCUUGUUCUCUCAGAACACCUUCAUUCUAAUGACAAUUUUUAGUCUAAGGUAAGAGACAGGAUUCACGUCCUACCCACCUAGAAACAAAAUAUAUCUUCACACUCACAGACCAUAAUUUCAUUUGAACUUUUAAUAAACAUUAGAUCAUUUUAUUAUUUGACAGUUGUAAAUGUUGCAAAUUCUCAAACAUUAUCUGAGGUAUACAGUAUAGUUUUAGAAUAAUUUUGAGUACCCCGAAAACUCUAAAACAUGACCAGAUAUAAAAACCUAUCUGUGGACUAGAGAGAUGGCUAAAGAGCUCAGAGCUUUUGCUGAUCUUCCAGAGGACCUGAGUUUGGUUCCAUGCACCCAGAUCAGGUAGCUCGCAUCUACCAGGAAAGAAAUCGAUCUUUAAAUAUCCCAUCAUGAUCAUAUAAAAAAUGACAAAGUAAAACUGUACAAGAGUGCAAUACAAGAUAAAUAGUUCCUAACAAUGCUAUUUAUCUUGUAGAGUGUGUGUGUGUGUGUGGGGGGGGGGAGAGUGAGCAAGAGAGAAAGAGAGAGACAGAGACAGAGAUAGAGAGACAGAGAGACAACCAUUUUUAUAUCAAAUGCUCAUAUUGAAGAGGACUCAAAUGUAUCUAUUUGAUGGUUUAAAUGAGGUAUCAAAAUUGUUAUUGAGCCCAACUUGAUAUAUUAGAUAUAAAGGAAUACUAACUUUUGAAAAAAAAAAAACAACUAACUUUUAUAUCUGAAAAGUGAGAAAUAAUAAUAAAACAAAAUAAAUGUA
rnacentral:lncRNA from 1 species